rnacentral:misc_RNA from 1 species
ACCUAGCGUCCUUAUGUGUUGUUCUCACAUUUGAAGGUUUAUUGUCCAAAGAGUUGGUUAGCUACUUGAACAUCUGCCUGUUUUGAUUUGCACAUUAGAUCAAUAGGAUUAUGAACAAGAAGAACGUCAUAUUCUCACUUUCUUCGUAAAGAUGCCUCAAAUUUGCAUACCAGAAGAAACCAUCCAAGCAGGCACUAAGCAUAAAUUUCCUUGGGCAUUAUAUCAACUAAUAUUUCAAUAGAAAGCAAUAAUUGCCCAAGCUUACACAAGAACAUAAAUA